rnacentral:rRNA from 1 species
GGCCCUUCGGGGUACUCGAGUGGCGAACGGGUGAGUAACACGUGGGUGAUCUGCCCUGCACUUUGGGAUAAGCCUGGGAAACUGGGUCUAAUACCGAAUAUGACCGCGCACUUCCUGGUGUGUGGUGGAAAGCUUUUGCGGUGUGGGAUGGGCCCGCGGCCUAUCAGCUUGUUGGUGGGGUAAUGGCCUACCAAGGCGACGACGGGUAGCCGGCCUGAGAGGGUGACCGGCCACACUGGGACUGAGAUACGGCCCAGACUCCUACGGGAGGCAGCAGUGGGGAAUAUUGCACAAUGGGCGCAAGCCUGAUGCAGCGACGCCGCGUGAGGGAUGACGGCCUUCGGGUUGUAAACCUCUUUCAAUAGGGACGAAGCGCAAGUGACGGUACCUAUAGAAGAAGGACCGGCCAACUACGUGCCAGCAGCCGCGGUAAUACGUAGGGUCCGAGCGUUGUCCGGAAUUACUGGCGUAAAGAGCUCGUAGGUGGUUUGUCGCGUUGUUCGUGAAAACUCACAGCUUAACUGUGGGCGUGCGGGCGAUACGGGCAGACUAGAGUACUGCAGGGGAGACUGGAAUUCCUGGUGUAGCGGUGGAAUGCGCAGAUAUCAGGAGGAACACCGGUGGCGAAGGCGGGUCUCUGGGCAGUAACUGACGCUGAGGAGCGAAAGCGUGGGGAGCGAACAGGAUUAGAUACCCUGGUAGUCCACGCCGUAAACGGUGGGUACUAGGUGUGGGUUUCCUUCCUUGGGAUCCGUGCCGUAGCUAACGCAUUAAGUACCCCGCCUGGGGAGUACGGCCGCAAGGCUAAAACUCAAAGAAAUUGACGGGGGCCCGCACAAGCGGCGGAGCAUGUGGAUUAAUUCGAUGCAACGCGAAGAACCUUACCUGGGUUUGACAUGCACAGGACGCCGGCAGAGAUGUCGGUUCCCUUGUGGCCUGUGUGCAGGUGGUGCAUGGCUGUCGUCAGCUCGUGUCGUGAGAUGUUGGGUUAAGUCCCGCAACGAGCGCAACCCUUGUCUCAUGUUGCCAGCACGUAAUGGUGGGGACUCGUGAGAGACUGCCGGGGUCAACUCGGAGGAAGGUGGGGAUGACGUCAAGUCAUCAUGCCCCUUAUGUCCACGGCUUCACACAUGCUACAAUGGCCGGUACAAAGGGCUGCGAUGCCGUGAGGUGGAGCGAAUCCUUUCAAAGCCGGUCUCAGUUCGGAUCGGGGUCUGCAACUCGACCCCGUGAAGUCGGAGUCGCUAGUAAUCGCAGAUCAGCAACGCUGCGGUGAAUACGUUCCCGGGCCUUGUACACACCGCCCGUCACGUCAUGAAAGUCGGUAACACCCGAAGCCGGUGGCCUAACC